CACAUGCUGGUGACAAGUGAAACCUUCCAGUACCUGACAUAAAAGGCAAAGAGGACUCGCUUUUCCUGGUCUUCUAUCACCAACACAUACCGUCUGAGACGACUGCACCUGUGCUACCUGCCUCAGGACCAAAGGAGAUGCAGUGAGUAGAAGGAGGUAAAGACUGCCGAGCCCUACACACAGAGAACCCGUGAUAUUACCCUGACGAUGUCUUGCCAUUCUAUUCUAAUUUGGGAAUGAAUUGUUUAUUAAUGUUA